rnacentral:rRNA from 1 species
UACGGGGGGGGCAAGCGUUGUUCGGAAUUACUGGGCGUAAAGGGCGCGUAGGCGGUUGGAUAAGUCAGCUGUGAAAACCACGAGCUCAACUUGUGGCCUGCAGUUGAAACUGUCUGGCUAGAGUGUGGGAGAGGGAAGUGGAAUUCCUGGUGUAGCGGUGAAAUGCGUAGAUAUCAGGAGGAACAUCAGUUGCGAAGGCGGCUCUCUGGACCAGCACUGACACUGAGGCACGAAAAGCGUGGGGGAGCAAAACAGGA